ACAUCUAGAUAAAAUGAAACCAAACAGAAGAAAAAACAUAGCUUUCCAAAUUUUCUCUAGCCGAAAAUUGGACAAGAGGAAAUUGGAGAAGAAGCCGAAGCCACCAGAGCUUCAGUUACCAUCAAGGUUGAGGUCUAGGAACCAUCAAAUCGAUGAGAUUUCAAAGUAUACAUUUAGGCAUUCACAAGUCUCACAAAUUCCAUGUAUCAACUCAAGUGAAGACUUUUUCAGCUAUAGGCCAUCCUUACCAGAUAAGUAACAAAAACCUCCUCAAUCGGCUAAGUCAAUGUCACGACUAAUUUCAAAUUUACUUUCCUCUCAUGACAGAUUGAGCUCACCAAGGAGAGAAUACCACUACCGCUGGAAGUGAAGCAAGACCUUCCAUCAAUCAUGAUUUGAUAAAGAACAACAACCCUCUCUGUGCAGAAAAAGCUGUCCAGAUAUGAAGCUUCCAAAAAGUAUAGCCUACAAAUUUAAAUUUUUUCCUCUUUUUGUUUCUCUGCCACUUGCCUUUUGUAUGCUUGCACUUUUUAAAUCUUGCUCACUAGUCCCCAUUCGUGUCCCACAGUUAUUUCUUAUUAUAUUUUUUAUGCAAUCUUGUAGCUAUGAUAUACUAAUUACCCCUUAUUGAUUUAUUGUUCCAUAUUGAAUCUUUCUGAUUCUUAAAUUUGGAACCUGUUCUCUGUCCAUGUUUAGAAUUGAUCUUGCAUCUCUUGGUAACUCUUGAGUAUUAUUGUAAGUUAUAAUAUCAGUACCUGCAUAAAAGAAACUUUCAUUAGAUAAAAAAUCUGCUAGCUUGUUUCCCUCUCUAUACACAUGUUUCAUCACCACUACACUCCUUUCAUCAAACUCCAAAUCCUCCUUACAUCCAAAGCUACACUCCAAGGUAUCUCUCAUAUACCUUCUAUAAUCUUUUUAACAAAGAGAAUCAGUUUCCAUUCCAAGUCUAAAUGCUUUGAACCCAGCCACUAAAUUGGUACAGAACCCCAACCUCUUAAUUUCAGCAAAGAUAAAUCCUCCUGAAUCAUUUCUAAUACAGUAAGUCCCUGAACUUAGUCUAGGAUUGCUUUUACUAGCUCCAAUAGAAUUAUAUUUAAAAUUUACCUUCGCUGGAAGAUUACAGUAUACCAUCUUACAUACAUUCUUAUGAGAGUAUUGGUUCAGCCAAUAAACCAGAUCAGGCCAUGAAAAUUCAUAUUUUUUAACCAUGGAUAUAUACAGAUAGCCAUAAGCAAAUAUUUUUGUUAAUAGCCAGUUUCAUGUUCCUUCUAGACAUCUUUCCACCAUGAGUUAUAGUAUUUCUUCUUUUCCAUAUCUCCCAGACGACAAACAUAGGUACAGCCUUAAACAAAGGUCUCAGUUUAUAGGCCACCUCUGCUGAUUCUCAUUAAUUGUCACCUAGUUGAAUAAAAGGACCAAUCAGUCCUGCACAUGCUGCAAAUCUUUCCACAUUAAUUUAGAAUCAAGGCACCUCAUGAAAAGGUGUUUAAUAGUUUCUUGAACAUCUUGAUCACAACAACAGCACACUACAGAAUCCACAAUUCUGCCAUUUAUAAGAACUUCACCAACUGGUAGUCUUUUUUUCAUAACCUCCACAAAUAAAAAGAUAUUUUGAAAGGAACUACUUUUUCCCAACACCUUGACAAGCCAUUAUGUUGAUCAUUUUUCUGUCUAACAACUUUUCAGGCAGAUCUAACAGAGAACUUUUCAUUACUAUUCAGCAUCCGCCAGGUCUUGUCCCAUUCUUCCUUAUCUUUUUGUAGUUGUCUCAACCCUUUAAUGUGAUUACAUAUCUCUCUGUUGAAGGAGUUUGUUAAUAAUUUCUCAUCCCAUCUUUCUUCUCUGAACAACUAUCUUACCUCAUCUAACUGUAGGUUAAAUUGUCCAGUGAUAGAAAUGAUAUAUUCCAAUGCUCCUAAUUGUGUCUAGUUAUCAAACUACACACUUGAAUUUCCACACUUAGGUUCCCACCAAAUUUCCUGAUCAAACAUCUCCCUGGCUUCUAACAUAUGUAUCCAACUCUAAGAUCCAACUAUCCAUUAUACUAUGUAAGGUUCUUUUUUCUUGCAGUAUUUAUUCCACAUAAAAUUAGUCCAAAGUAAUUUUUGAAUACUGAAAAUCCACCAGAGCUUUGCAAUCAUAUCCUUUCCUACAUCACCUAAGGAUAUGAAACUCAGCUCCCCUUCCUCCUUAGUUUGCAAUAUUAGCCCAAUUAAUCCAAUGUUUACUUUUGCCAGUCUCCUUGACAUUCCAAAAGAACCUAGCAAAAAUUCUCUCCAAGUCAUGAAUAACAUUCUUAGGAGGAUUGAUAGCAGAGAGUAAAUAAAUAAGGAUACUAUUUAGGACACUAUUGAUAAGCACUGUCUUAGCCCCAAAAGAUAUCAUUCUACCUUUCCAUGCUUGCAAUUUGUUUUGAACCUUUUUGAUCAACCUUGAGAAGUGACACUUCAAUUUUUCAUGACUUAUGGGACAUCCCAGAUAAGUUAAUGGAAAACUACCCUUUACAAAACCAAUAGCAUCCCUCACCUCUUCUACAAUAAAGUUAUCAGCUUUGCUAUACAUAAUGAAUUAACUCUUGUGUUUAUUCACUAUUUGUCCAGAAUAGGACUCAUAAUCUCCAAAUUUGGCCUUCCUAGUUUUAUAUUGUAUUACUGGUGAUAAUCUAGCAGCUGUCAUGAUUCUUUCCUCUGUAUUUUGAUUAUAUUCUUUUUCUUUAUCUUUAAUUUUCAUUCUCCCUUGUUGUUCAUUCAAGAUAUUAUACCCUAUCUCCAUCUCCUCAAUUUGAUGAGUGACAAUGUUAUGCAACUGUUUUACUAAGUCUGGACUAGAGAAGCCACCUUACUGACUACUAAGGAGUUUUUUUCUUUAUGUGGAACCUGUUCUAUCUGCAACUGGGAAUCAACUGGAUAUCUACUAUUAUCCUCGUCAUUGAUUUCCAUGUUAUCAAUUUAAAGAGGUGCCUCUUGGAUAUUUUCAUUGUGAUCUGAUUGACCCUCCUUAUCAUACACUACUAUAGCAUUCUCUGUAGGAUAGUCAUCCUUAGUCCUGUCAGCAGAAGUUGUAGGGCAAAUGUUUAUAUCUAUAUGAAGGACUUCUGAUGUCUGUA